GCCAGCGAUCCGCCGACGUUCCUCCGAUGACUCGGCGGGGAGCUUCCCCCGGGAAACCAAAAGCUUUUGGGUUCCGGGGGAAGUAUGGUUGCAAAGCUGAAACUUAAAGGAAUUGACGGAAGGGCACCACCAGGAGUGGAGCCUGCGGCUUAAUUUGACUCAACACGGGAAACCUCACCAGGCCAGGACAUUGGAAGGAUUGACAGA
rnacentral:rRNA from 1 species